rfam:Homo sapiens chromosome 17, GRCh38 reference primary assembly.
AGACAAAUAGGUUUGGUCCUAGCCUUUCUAUUAACUCUUAGUAAGAUUACACAAGCAAGCAUCGCCACCCUGGUGAAAUAACCCUCUAAAUCACUACAAUCAAAAGGAGUAAGUAUCAAGCACGCAUUAGUGCAGCUCAAAACACUUUGCCUAGCCACACCCCCACGGGAGACAGCAGUGAUAAACCUUUAGCAAUAAACGAAAGUUUAACUGAGCUAUACUAACUUUAGGGUUGGUUAAUUUCAUGCCAGCCACCACGGUCAUACGAUGAACCCAAGCUAAUAGAGACUGGCGUAAAGAAUGUUUUACAUUAUCCCUCAAUAAAGCUAAAUUUCACCUAAGUUGUAGAAAACCCUAGUUGAUAUAAAACAAACUACGAAAGUGGCUUUAAUAUUUCUGAAUACACAAUAGCGAAGAUUCAAACUGGGAUUAGAUACCCCACUAUGCUCAGCCCUAAACUUCAACAGUUAAAUCAACAAAACUGCUCGCCAGAACACUAGGAGCAACAGCUUAAAACUCAAAGGACCUGGCGGUGCUUCACAUCCCUCUAGAGGAGCCUGUUCUAUAAUCGAUAAACCCCAAUUCACCUCACCACCUCUUGCUCAACCCAUAUACCGCCAUCUUCAGCAAACCCUGACAAAGGCCACAAAGUAAGCACAAGUAUCUACAUAAAAAUGUUAGGUCAAGGUGUAGCCUAUGAGGUGGCAAGAAAUGGGCUACAUUUUCUACCCCAGAAAAUUCUACAAUAACCCUUAUGAAACCUGAGGGUCCAAGGAGGAUUUAGUAGUAAAUUAAGAACAGAGUGCUUAAUUGAAUAGGGCCAUAAAGCACGCACACACCACCCAUCACCCUCCUCAAGUAUAUUUCAAGGACUAUCUAACUAAAACCCCUAUGCAUUUAUAUAGAGGAGAUAAGUUGGAUAAACCAAGGUGUAGCUUAACAUAAAGCACCCUGCUUACACCUGGGAGAUUUCAAUU